UACGUAGGGUGCGAGCGUUAAUCGGAAUUACUGGGCGUAAAGCGUGCGCAGGCGGUUAUAUAAGUCAGAUGUGAAAUCCCUGGGCUCAACCUGGGAACUGCAGUUGAGACUGUAUGGCUAGAGUGUGUCAGAGGGGGGUAGAAUUCCACGUGUAACAGUGAAAUGCGUAGAUAUGUGGAGGAAUACCGAUGGCGAAGGCAGCCCCCUGGGAUAACACUGACGCUCAUGCACGAAAGCGUGGGGAGCAAACAGG
rnacentral:rRNA from 1 species